CCAAACUUGGUCAUUUAGAGGAAGUAAAAGUCGUAACAAGGUUUCCGUAGGUAAGUUAUAUCGGAGCGCCCUGUUACUUUGUAUUUGAACAGUUUUCACUAACUCUAUUUCCAGGUGAACCUGCGGAAGGAUCAUUAACGAGUUAGGGUCUACACGGCCCGACCUCCCAACCCUUUGUGUAUUGAACCUGUGUUGCUUCGGCGGGCCCGUCGUGAGAACGACCGCCGGAGGAUUGUCGAGAGGCGUCCUCUGGCCCGCACCCGUCGGUGGCCUACACCUAAAACCUCUGAAUGAAUCAUGUUCUAUGUCUAAGUCCUUUGAUAAAUAAAGCAAAACUUUCAACAACGGAUCUCUUGGUUCUGGCAUCGAUGAAGAACGCAGC
rnacentral:misc_RNA from 1 species